CAUCAAUACCCCCGGACAGGGCCAACCAGGCAGGAUAUAAACCCACCAACUUUGCCAAAGCACAGCCCCCACAGUACUGGAGGGGUAUCUUCAAACCACCAACUUAAUACCCUGAGACAAGGCCGAAUAUAGCCCACGAAGAUCUCCCCAACGGCAGGAACCCGAGGGGGGCGCCAACCCGGACAGGAAGAUCACGUCAGUGACUCAACGCACUCAAGUGAAGCACCCCUCUUAGGGACAGCAUGGAAGAGCACCAGUAAGCCAGUGACUCAGCCCCCGUAACAGGGUUUGAGGCAGAGAAGGUACUGUAACAGGAGUAGUGUAGGGUGUAGUGAAGGUACUGUAACAGGAGUAGUAUAGGGUGUAGUGAAGGUACUGUAACAGGAGUAGAGUAGGGUGUAGUGAAGGUACUGUAACAGGAGUAGUGUAGGGUGUAGUGAAGGUACUGUAACAGGAGUAGUGUAGGGUGUAGUGAAGGUACUGUAACAGGAGUAGUGUAGGGUGUAGUGAAGGUACUGUAACAGGAGUAGUGAAAGUACUGUGCCAGGAGUAGUGUAGGGUGUAGUGAAGGUACUGUAACAGGAGUAGUGUAGGGUGUAGUGAAAGUACUGUAACAGGAGUAGUGUAGGGUGUAGUGAAGGUACUGUAACAGGAGUAGUGUAGGGUGUAGUGAAGGUACUGUAACAGGAAUAGUGUAGGGUGUAGUGAAGGUACUGUAACAGGAGUAGUGUAGGGUGUAGUGAAGGUACUGUGACAGGAGAAGUGUAGGGUGUAGUGAAGGUACUGUAACAGGAGUAGUGUAGGGUGUAGUGAAGGUACUGUAACAGGAGUAGUGUAGGGUGUAGUGAAGGUACUGUAACAGGAGUAGUCUAGGGUGUAGUGAAGGUACUGUAACAGGAGUAGUGAAGGUACUGUGACAGGAGUAGUGUAGGGUGUAGUGAAGGUACUGUAACAGGAGUAGUGUAGGGUGUAGUGAAGGUACUGUGACAGGGGUAGUGUAGUGUGUAGUGAAGAUACUGUAACAGGAGCAGUGUAGGGUGUAGUGAAGGUACUGUAACAGGAGUAGUGUAGGGUGUAGUGAAGGUACUGUAACAGGAGUAGUGUAGGGUGUAGUGAAGGUACUGUAACAGGAGUAGUGUAGGGCAUAGUGAAGGUACUGUAACAGGAGUAGUGUAGGGUGUAGUGAAGGUACUGUGACAGGAUUGAUGGAGACAGUACAGGGAGAGAAUCAUGUUGACUGUCUG
rnacentral:lncRNA from 1 species